GGCUUCGGUGCCGCAGUUAACGCAUUAAGUGCUCCGCCUGGGGAGUACGCACGCAAGCGUGAAACUCAAAGGAAUUGACGGGGACCCGCACAAGCAGCGGAGCAUGUGGUUUAAUUCGAAGCAACGCGAGGAACCUUACCAGGACUUGACAUCCCUCUGACCGCACCUUAACCGGUGCUUUCCUUCGGGACAGAGGUGACAGGUGGUGCAUGGUUGUCGUCAGCUCGUGUCGUGAGAUGUUGGGUUAAGUCCCGCAACGAGCGCAACCCUUGCCAUUAGUUGCCAUCAUUCAGUUGGGCACUCUAGUGGGACUGCUGGGGACAACUCGGAGGAAGGUGGGGAUGACGUCAAAUCAUCAUGCCCCUUAUGUUCUGGGCUACACACGUGCUACAAUGGCCGGUACAGAAAGCAGCAAUGCCGCGAGGCGGAGCGAAUCUCGAAAACCGGUCCCAGUUCGGAGUGCAGGCUGCAACCCGCCUGCAAGAAGCCGGAGUUGCUAGUAAUCGCGGAUCAGAAUGCCGCGGUGAAUGCGUUCCCGGGUCUUGUCCACACCGCCCGUCACACCAUGGAAGUGGGGGGUGCCGGAAGCCGGCAGGGAAAUAAGCUGUCUAAGGCAAAACCAAUGACUGGGGUGAAGUCGUAACAAGGUAGCCG
rnacentral:rRNA from 1 species